AUUGAACGCUGGCGGCAGGCCUAACACAUGCAAGUCGAGCGGAGCGGCGGACGGGUGAGUAAUGCCUAGGCAUCUGCCUGGUAGUGGGGGAUAACGUCCGGAAACGGGCGCUAAUACCGCAUACUAUCAGAUGAGCCUAGGUAGGUUAAGCUAUGUGGUGGGGUAAAGGCCUCCCAAGGCGACGAUCCGUAACUGGUAUGAGAGGAGGAUCAGUCACACUGUAGAUGAGACGCGGUCCAGACUCCUACGGGAGGCAGCAGUGGGGAAUAUUGUACAAUGGGCGAAAGCCUGAUCCAGCCAUGCCGCGUGUGUGAAGAAGGUCUUCGGAUUGUAAAGCACUUUAAGUUGGGAGGCGUUACCAACAGAAUAUGCACCGGCUAACUGCGUGCCAGCAGCCGCGGUAAUUC
rnacentral:rRNA from 1 species